GAAAACCAACUGGGAUUACCUUAGUAACGGCGAGUGAAGCGGUAAAAGCUCAAAUUUGAAAUCUGGUACUUUCAGUGCCCGAGUUGUAAUUUGUAGAAUUUGUCUUUGAUUAGGUCCUUGUCUAUGUUCCUUGGAACAGGACGUCAUAGGGGGUGGAGAAUCCCGUUUGGCGAGGAUACCUUUUCUCUGUAAGACUUUUUCGAAGAGUCGAGUUGUUUGGGAAUGCAGCUCAAAGUGGGUGGUAAAUUCCAUCUAAAGCUAAAUAUUGGCGAGAGACCGAUAGCGAACAAGUACAGUGAUGGAAAGAUGAAAAGAACUUUGAAAAGAGAGUGAAAAAGUACGUGAAAUUGUUGAAAGGGAAGGGCAUUUGAUCAGACAUGGUGUUUUUUGCAUGCACUCGCCUCUCGUGGGCUUGGGCCUCUCAAAAAUUUCACUGGGCCAACAUCAAUUCUGGCAGCAGGAUAAAUCAUUAAGAAUGUAGCUACUUCGGUAGUGUUAUAGCUUUUUUGGAAUACUGUUAGCCGGGAUUUGA
rnacentral:rRNA from 1 species